GGCUACACACGUGCUACAAUGGGUAGUACAGAGAGUCGCAAAGCCGCGAGGUGGAGCUAAUCUCAGAAAACUAUUCUUAGUUCGGAUUGUACUCUGCAAUUCGAGUACAUGAAGUUGGAAUCGCUAGUAAUCGCGAAUCAGCAAUGUCGCGGUGAAUACGUUCUCGGGUCUUGUACACACCGCCCGUCACACCACGAGAGUUGGUUGCACCUGAAGUAGCAGGCCUAACCGUAAGGAGGGAUGCUCCGAGGGUGUGAUUAGCGAUUGGGGUGAAGUCGUAACAAGGUAUCCGUACGGGAACGU
rnacentral:rRNA from 1 species